AGAGUUUGAUCCUGGCUCAGGAUGAACGCUGGCGGCGUGCUUAACACAUGCAAGUCGAACGAACCUUCGGGUUAGUGGCGGACGGGUGAGUAACGCGUGAGAAUCUGCCCUCAGGAGGGGGAUAACGGCUGGAAACGGCCGCUAAUACCCCAUAUGCCGAGAGGUGAAACGAGUUUUCGCCUGAGGAUGAGCUCGCGUCUGAUUAGCUAGUUGGUGAGGUAAUGGCUCACCAAGGCAUCGAUCAGUAGCUGGUCUGAGAGGAUGAUCAGCCACACUGGGACUGAGACACGGCCCAGACUCCUACGGGAGGCAGCAGUGGGGAAUUUUCCGCAAUGGGCGAAAGCCUGACGGAGCAACGCCGCGUGAGGAAUGAAGGCCUCUGGGCUGUAAACCUCUUUUCUCAAGGAAGAAGACCUGACGGUACUUGAGGAAUAAGCCACGGCUAAUUCCGUGCCAGCAGCCGCGGUAAUACGGGAGUGGCAAGCGUUAUCCGGAAUUAUUGGGCGUAAAGCGUCCGCAGGCGGCCUUUUAAGUCUGUUGUCAAAGCGUGGAGCUUAACUCCAUUUCGGCAAUGGAAACUGGGAGGCUUGAGUGUGGUAGGGGCAGAGGGAAUUCCCGGUGUAGCGGUGAAAUGCGUAGAUAUCGGGAAGAACACCAGUGGCGAAGGCGCUCUGCUGGGCCAUAACUGACGCUCAUGGACGAAAGCCAGGGGAGCGAAAGGGAUAGAUACCCCUGUAGUCCUGGCCGUAAACGAUGAACACUAGGUGUCGGGGGAAUCGACCCCCUCGGUGUCGUAGCCAACGCGUUAAGUGUUCCGCCUGGGGAGUACGCACGCAAGUGUGAAACUCAAAGGAAUUGACGGGGGCCCGCACAAGCGGUGGAGUAUGUGGUUUAAUUCGAUGCAACGCGAAGAACCUUACCAGGGUUUGACAUCCUGCGAAUCCCUUGGAAACUUGGGAGUGCCUUCGGGAGCGCAGAGACAGGUGGUGCAUGGCUGUCGUCAGCUCGUGUCGUGAGAUGUUGGGUUAAGUCCCGCAACGAGCGCAACCCACGUCUUUAGUUGCCAGCAUUGAGUUGGGCACUCUAGAGAGACCGCCGGUGAUAAACCGGAGGAAGGUGUGGAUGACGUCAAGUCAUCAUGCCCCUUACAUCCUGGGCUACACACGUACUACAAUGCUACGGACAAAGGGCAGCAAACUCGCGAGAGCUAGCAAAUCCCAUAAACCGUGGCUCAGUUCAGAUCGUAGGCUGCAACUCGCCUACGUGAAGGAGGAAUCGCUAGUAAUCGCAGGUCAGCAUACUGCGGUGAAUACGUUCCCGGGCCUUGUACACACCGCCCGUCACACCAUGGAAGUUGGCCACGCCCGAAGCCGUUACUCCAACCCUUGUGGAGGAGGACGUCGAAGGUGGGGCUGAUGACUG
rnacentral:rRNA from 1 species